AGAAUCAACGCUGGCGGCGUGCCUAACACAUGCAAGUCGAACGAGAAAGUGGAGCAAUCCAUGAGUAAAGUGGCGCACGGGUGAGUAACACGUGACUAACCUACCCUUGAGUGGGGAAUAACCUCGGGAAACCGGGCUAAUACCGCAUAAUAUCGAAAGAUCAAAGGAGUAAUCCGCUUUUGGAGGGGUCGCGGCUGAUUAGCUAGUUGGUAGGGUAAUGGCCUACCAAGGCGAAGAUCGGUA
rnacentral:rRNA from 1 species